rnacentral:rRNA from 1 species
AGAGUUUGAUCCUGGCUCAGGAUGAACGCUGGCGGCGUGCUUUACCAAUGCGAGUCGUGCGGGCCAUCGAAAGAUGGUCAGCGGCGUCCGGGUGCGUAACACGUGGGUGACCUACCUUGAUGUGGGGGAUACCCGCCCGAAAGGGUGGCUAAUACCGCAUGCGUUCUACCCCCAUUGGGAUAGAGCAAAGCCCGCAAGGGCGCAUUUAGAGGGGCCCGCGGCCUAUCAGCUUGAUGGUGAGGUAAUGGCUCACCAUGGCUUUGACGGGUAGCCGGUCUGAGAGGACGAACGGCCACAGUGGGACUGAAAUAUGGUCCACAGCCCUACGGGGUUUAGCAUGGAGGAAUCUUGCGCAACGAUUGGAAGAUCGGCGCAGCAACGCCGCGUGGGGGACGAAGGCCCUUGGGUCGUAAACCCCUGUUGCUCGGGAAGAAGUACCUGCGGGGAGAUCCCGCAGGGAAGACGGUACCGGGCGAGGAAGCACCGGCUAACUACGUGCCAGCAGCCGCGGUAAUACGUAGGGUGCAAGCGUUAUCCGGAUUUAUUGGGCGUAAAGGGCGCGCAGGCCCACCAGCAGUGGCCCGUGGAAUCUCUCCGCUCAACGGAGAGAGGCCGGGCCAUACGGGGUGGCUUGGGGCAGGCAGAGGCAUGCAGAACGGGCGGAGUAGGGGUGAAAUCCGUAGAGACCGUCCGGAAUACCAGUGGCGAAGGCGGCAUGCUGGGCCUGAGGCCGUAAGGCUGAACCCGACGCUCGGGCGCGAAAGCGUGGGGAGCGAACGGAAUUAGAUACUCCGGUAGUCCACGCCCUAAACGAUGGCAACUCGGUGUCGGGGGUAUCGACCCCCCCGGCGCCCCAGCGAACGCGGUAAGUUGCCCGCCUGGGGACUACGGCCGCAAGGCUAAAACUCAAAGGAAUUGACGGGGGCCCGCACAAGCAGCGGAGCGUGUGGAUUAAUUCGAUGCAACGCGAAGAACCUUACCUGGGUUUGACAUGCUACUGGUACCGACCCGAGAGGGAAGGGUCCCGCAAGGGAGGUAGCACAGGUGCUGCAUGGCUGUCGUCAGCUCGUGCCGUGAGGUGUUGGGUUAAGUCCCGCAACGAGCGCAACCCCCGUCCCUAGUUGCACUAUCUAGGGAGACUGCCGGGCGAACCCCGGAGGAAGGUGGGGACGACGUCAAGUCCGCAUGGCCCCUACGCCCAGGGCGUCACACACGCUACAAUGGCCGGUACAGCGGGACGCGAGGUCGCGAGACUAAGCCAACCCCCCAAAGCCGGCCUCAGUACGAAUUGGAGGCUGCAACUCGCCUCCAUGAAGUCGGAGUUGCUAGUAACCGCGCGUCAGCACAGUGCGGUGAAUGCGUUCCCGGGCCUUGUACACACCGCCCGUCACACCACGAAAGCCGGUAAGACUCGAAUGCGCCGGGCUAACCCGCAAGG